AUGCAGAAUAAACAGAAGCACACGAUCAAGAGUGUGUCUAACUCCUCUCUUCUGGAAAUGACGUGUCUUGAAAUGCUUGAUCUGACAGUCGCGCCCUCUCAAGAAAGAAGUAUCACAGAGGAAAGGCAAGUACAUUUAAUGAGCUCGGUUCACUGCUGGGUCACACCAGAGCAGAAGGACGAGACCUCCAUUGCUGGGAAGACCACCCAGAGAGGAGAAAGCUGCGCUUGCCCAGGAGGGAGGACAUGCAUCCUGAAAAUACUGACCUGGAAAGGGGAAACAAAUUAUACGCCAUUUCCUGUAUCAUCAUGCCAAACUUCCUGGGCUUUUCCUAGGAUCUACUUUUGUUUUAGUCAGA
rnacentral:lncRNA from 1 species